GACGAACGCUGGCGGCGUGCUUAACACAUGCAAGUCGAACGGAAAGGGCCGGGUUUGGUUGUGUGCUCGAGUUGCGAACGGGUGAGUAACACGUGAGUAACCUGCCCGGUAGUUUGGGAUAACUUCAGGAAACUGUGGCUAAUACCGCAUAAGAGUACCUGCUGCAUGGUGUUGGUUGGAAAGGUUCGGUGGCUGGGGAAGGAGGUGAGGCUUAUCCGCUUGUUGUUGGGGUUGUGGUUUAGAAAGGCCUUGACGGGUAGCCGGACUGGGAGGGAGACAGGCCACAGUGGGACUGGGGUGCGGGCCAGAGUGCUACGGGAGGCAGCGGUGGGAAAUAUUGCAAGAUGGGCGGCAGCAGGAAGCAGCAACGCCGCGUGCGGGAUGACGGCCUUCGGGUUGUAACGCGCUUUAGCCUGUGAAGAAGAGAGAGUGACGGUAAUGGAUAAAGAAGCAACGGCUAACUACGUG
rnacentral:rRNA from 1 species